UCCCUGGUGGUCCGGUGGUUAGGACUCUGAGCUCCCAACACACAGGGCACAGGUUCAGUUCCUGGUCGGGGAA
rnacentral:tRNA from 1 species